UGCUUGUUCCGCGGGUGAUUGGCUUUUUUUUUGGCAAACCAGUUAUUAAAGUUUCUGGUCUUUAAAAAACUCUGUGGCGGUACGGUAGCCGAGGAGGUUCCAGCGCGGCGGAAGUACCCCGCGGGUGGGUGUGUGCGCGAGGCCAGGGCCAGAGGGGCACGUGGCGCCGGGAGGAGAAUGUCUUUUCGAGGCGGAGGUCGUGGAGGCUUUAAUCGAGGUGGUGGAGGUGGCGGCUUCAACCGAGGCGGCAGCAGCAACCACUUCCGAGGUGGAGGCGGCGGUGGAGGCGGCGGCAGUUUCAGAGGCGGCGGCAGGGGAGGAUUUGGACGAGGGCGUGGCCGCGGAGGCUUUAACAAAGGCCAAGACCAAGGACCUCCAGAACGUGUAGUCUUAUUAGGAGAGUUCCUGCAUCCCUGUGAAGAUGACAUAGUUUGUAAAUGUACCACAGAUGAAAAUAAGGUGCCUUAUUUCAAUGCUCCUGUUUACUUAGAAAACAAAGAACAAAUUGGAAAAGUGGAUGAAAUAUUUGGACAACUUAGAGAUUUUUAUUUUUCAGUUAAGUUGUCAGAAAACAUGAAGGCUUCAUCCUUUAAAAAACUACAGAAGUUUUAUAUAGACCCAUAUAAGCUGCUGCCACUGCAGAGGUUUUUACCUCGACCUCCAGGUGAGAAAGGACCUCCAAGAGGUGGUGGCAGGGGAGGCCGAGGAGGAGGAAGAGGAGGAGGUGGCAGAGGUGGUGGCAGAGGCGGUAAGUUACUUGGGGAAAAUUUCUAAUGAAAUUAACUGUGACUUUCACAGCUAAUUCAUAUAAUACAAUUUAGCUUUG
rnacentral:sRNA from 1 species